GAUGAAGAACGUAGUAAAAUGCGAUAAGUAGUGUGAAUUGCAGAAUUCAGUGAAUCAUCGAAUCUUUGAACGCACAUUGCGCCCUUUGGUAUUCCAAAGGGCAUGCCUGUUCGAGCGUCAUUUGUACCCUCAAGCUUUGCUUGGUGUUGGGCGUCUUGUCUCUAGCUUUGCUGGAGACUCGCCUUAAAGUAAUUGGCAGCCGGCCUACUGGUUUCGGAGCGCAGCACAAGUCGCACUCUCUAUCAGCAAAGGUCUAGCAUCCAUUAAGCCUUUUUUUCAACUUUUGACCUCGGAUCAGGUAGGGAUACCCGCUGAACUUAAGCAUAUCAAUAAGCGGAGGA
rnacentral:misc_RNA from 1 species